GAUGAACGCUGGCGGCGUGCCUAAUACAUGCAAGUCGAGCGAACAGAUGAGGAGCUUGCUCCUCUGACGUUAGCGGCGGACGGGUGAGUAACACGUGGAUAACCUACCUAUAAGACUGGGAUAACUUCGGGAAACCGGAGCCAAUACCGGAUAAUAUAUUGAACCGCAUGGUUCAAUAGUGAAAGACGGUUUUGCUGUCACUUAUAGAUGGAUCCGCGCCGCAUUAGCUAGUUGGUAAGGUAACGGCUUACCAAGGCAACGAUGCGUAGCCGACCUGAGAGGAUGAUCAGCCACACUGGAACUGAGACACGGUCCAGACUCCUACGGGAGGCAGCAGUAGGGAAUCUUCCGCAAUGGGCGAAAGCCUGACGCAGCAACGCCGCGUGAGUGAUGAAGGUCUUCGGAUCGUAAAACUCUGUUAUUAGGGAAGAACAAAAGUGUGAGUAACUAUGCACGUCUUGACGGUACCUAAUCAGAAAGCCACGGCUAACUACGUG
rnacentral:rRNA from 1 species